AGCCCAAUGUGAGACCUUUGGGAUAUACUAAAUGCUUAACAUAUACCACAGUAAUAUGUAUUAAUAAGAAUUCAGUCAACUAUGAUCAUUUCUGGGCAACUCAAUAACUUCUCCCCUCCAUUUCCUCCCAUCCCAGUCAAAAGCCACCAAGCCCAGCCAAUCAGCAGAGAGGAGAUCUCGGUUACCCACCGCUCCAACCCCAGGGUCCCCGGCUCUAUUUCAGGCCACUUGGAGCUCAGAGACAGGUGGAACCACAGUCCUCUCUUUCUUGUCUCCUCCCCAGAGCCCUGAGCACUGUAAGUGGAGACAUGCUGGGUUCUAUCACCCUCCUUCUCACCACCCUGCUCCCUGCCGUCCAGACGGCACUCACUCUGGACCAACCCAUGGUCUCCAUCACCCAAAAGGCUGGAACUUCUGCAACAUUUCCCUGUGAGUUUUCUGACACAAGAUUCAAGUACAUCCACUGGUAUCGUCAGCAGCCUGGGCAAGCUCCCCAGCGCCUCCUCUACUAUAACAUGGACACGACUGAAGUCACCCUGGAAUCAGGAGUCAAUAAAAACAAAAUUCAUGCUUACAAGUCAAAUGAUGGAAGCUGCUUCUUGUUCGUCCAGAAACUGGACAGGAAUGACGCCGGCUUCUAUUACUGUGCCGGCUGGGUCUCCACGUUGACGCAGUUUCCUCCACCGCCCGAUGCAGUGGUCACCUUGGAGCAGGGGCUGGUCUCCGUCACCAUCCAAAAGGGCAAAAAUGUGGACCUCUUCUGUAAAAGCACCGGCAAACUCUCAGGCUGUGUCCACUGCUGCCUGCGGGCUCUGGGCCCGGACGGGCCAUGCGCCGUGCACGUGCCGGAGCUCCAGCUGAGGGUGCCAGGGUGUCGAUGGGACACGGGGACGACCACAGCCCCCUUGCACGCCUGA